rnacentral:rRNA from 1 species
GACGAACGCUGGCGGCGUGGAUUAGGCAUGCAAGUCGAACGGUAGGAUACCUUCGGGUAUCUGAGAGUGGCGAACGGGUGAGUAACACGUAGGUGAUCUACCCUCAAGAUUGGGACAACCCAGGGAAACUUGGGCUAAUACCGGAUGAAAGCAGCAGUGAUGUUGUUUGAAAGGUGGCGUAAGCUGCCGUUUGGGGAUGAGCCUGCGCUCUAUUAGUUAGUUGGCGGGGUAAAGGCCCACCAAGGCGAUGAUAGAUAGGCGGCCUUAACGGGUGGUCGCCCACACUGGGAUUGAGAUACGGCCCAGACUCCUACGGGAGGCAGCAGUCGAGAAUAGUCUACAAUGGCCGAAAGGCUGAUAGUGCGACGCCGCGUGAACGAAGAAGCCCUUCGGGGUGUAAAGUUCUUUUCUAUGUGAGCAGUUCCUUUUAUAUGAAGAGUAUAGAAGGUGGGAUUUAAGCAUAGGAAUAAGCAACGGCUAACUCCGUG